rnacentral:rRNA from 1 species
AUGCAGUCGAGGGGUAGAAGUCUUCGGACUUUGAGACCGGCGCACGGGUGCGUAACGCGUAUGCAAUCUACCUUUUACAGAGGGAUAGCCCAGAGAAAUUUGGAUUAAUACCUCAUAGUAUAUAGACUCGGCAUCGAGAUUAUAUUAAAGUCACAACGGUAAAAGAUGAGCAUGCGUCCCAUUAGCUAGUUGGUAAGGUAACGGCUUACCAAGGCUACGAUGGGUAGGGGUCCUGAGAGGGAGAUCCCCCACACUGGUACUGAGACACGGACCAGACUCCUACGGGAGGCAGCAGUGAGGAAUAUUGGACAAUGGGCGCAAGCCUGAUCCAGCCAUGCCGCGUGCAGGAUGACGGUCCUAUGGAUUGUAAACUGCUUUUAUACGAGAAGAAACACUCCUUCGUGAAGGAAUUUGACGGUAUCGUAAGAAUAAGGAUCGGCUAACUCCGUGCCAGCAGCCGCGGUAAUACGGAGGAUCCAAGCGUUAUCCGGAAUCAUUGGGUUUAAAGGGUCCGUAGGCGGUUUGGUAAGUCAGUGGUGAAAGCCCAUCGCUCAACGGUGGAACGGCCAUUGAUACUGCCAGACUUGAAUUAUUAGGAAGUAACUAGAAUAUGUAGUGUAGCGGUGAAAUGCUUAGAGAUUACAUGGAAUACCAAUUGCGAAGGCAGGUUACUACUAAUGGAUUGACGCUGAUGGACGAAAGCGUGGGUAGCGAACAGGAUUAGAUACCCUGGUAGUCCACGCCGUAAACGAUGGAUACUAGCUGUUGGAAGCAAUUUCAGUGGCUAAGCGAAAGUGAUA